UUACGGCCACAUCUCGUUGAAACAUCGGUUCCCGUAGGAUCACCGAAGUUAAGCAACGUCUAGCCUGGUGAGUACUUGAAAGAUGACCACUUGGGAAUACCAUGUGCUGUAAG